CACGCCCAAAUAGUGGUGACACCGAUGGUGGGUCUGGGGAGGUUGGUGCGGAGGUUGCAGGUGCUAACCGGCGCCCACCUUUCCAAUCCUCUUCAAUGGCUACGAUGACCAGUAAAUCAAAGUCCCUUGUCCCUGUAGCGUGCCAUUUGGCACAGGGAACAAUGAAGGGAGAUUCAUCAAUGGAGGGUCUUGUGCAGAGAGGGGAGUCUGGCUGUGCUGGAGUUGGCAGAGGGCAGCAGGGGGAAGCAGAGGGCCGUGAGGAGGGGCCU
rnacentral:lncRNA from 1 species